UGGGGUUAUAGCUUAGUAGGUAGAGCGCCUGCUUUGCAAGCAGGAGGUCAGCGGUUCGAUCCCGCUUAACUCCAU
rnacentral:tRNA from 1 species